rnacentral:misc_RNA from 1 species
GUGAAACGACGGAUUCCUCUGCAAAGAGAAGGUCCGAUCCACUACUACACACACUUGUGCACUUGUCAUUUUUACAAAUUCAAUUUGUAUUACACACUUUUGCAUUGAAACAGUUGAUUAUACAAACUUAAAAUGAAAGAA